AGGCAGGAGAAUUGCUUGAACUCUGGAGGCAGAGGCUGCAGUGAGCCCAGAUCAUGCCACUGCACUCCAGCCUGGGCAACAACAGGAAAACUCCAUCUCAAAAAGAAAAAAAAAAAGAAAAAAAGAAGAAGAGGAGCUACAGGUGACCAAACAGAACUUCUCCAGUACAAGUCUGUCUGUCAUUCCAUUUGACAUUGUAUUGUAGGCAUAAGCCCUGCCUUCCAGUUCCUUGGCAGUGGUGAAGCAGUAUGGAGCUGGGGCAGGGAGGUGGCACAUUAUAGGACUGUGAGAACACUGCUCCUUUAUACAUAAAAUUCCUACACAAUGGAUCACUUGAGGUCAAGAGUUUGAGACCAGCCUGGCCAACAUGGUGAGACCCUGUCUCUACUAAAAAUACAAAAAUUAGCCCAGCUUGGUGGCAGGCGCCUGUAAUCCCAUCUAUUUGGGAGGCGAGGAAUGAGAAUUGCUUGAAGCCAGGAGGCGGAGGUUGCAGUGAGCCAAGACCAUGCUACUGCACUCCAGCCUGGGUGGCUGGGUGAGACUGUGUCUCAAAACAAAAACAAAAAACAAAAAACAAAACAAACAAAACAAACAAAAAAUUCCUACCCGAGAAGACUCAUGACUCUGGAACACAGUGAGUGCAGCUGUUAUGGUAAGUGAAACAGCUAAUGAUCUGGCAGAACCUUCAAGAUACAAGGUAAAGAGAAAAAAGCCAGGCGCAGGGUAGUCCACUUGCUGUCUUUUGUGUGAAUCUAUCUGUGUUUUUAAAUGCAGAGACUAAAGGAAUUGGCGGUAGGUAGGCAUCGCCUCCAGGGAGUGGAAUUGGAUUACUGGGAGGCACAGAGAGAGGUGUACUUUCUUUUCACUGCAAACCUUUUGUGCAUCCAGCCU
rnacentral:lncRNA from 10 species